CGGACGGGUGAGUAACGCGUGAGAAUCUGCCCUCAGGAGGGGGACAACAGCUGGAAACGGCUGCUAAUACCCCAUAUGCCGCGAGGUGAAAUGAAUUUCGCCUGAGGAUGAGCUCGCGUUUGAUUAGCUAGUUGGUGUAGGUAAUGGCUCACCAAGGCAUCGAUCAGUAGCUGGUCUGAGAGGACGAUCAGCCACACUGGGACUGAGACACGGCCCAGACUCCUACGGGAGGCAGCAGUAGGGAAUUUUCCGCAAUGGGCGAAAGCCUGACGGAGCAACGCCGCGUGAGGGACUAAGGCCUUUGGGCUGUAAACCUCUUUUCUCAAGGAAGAAGAUCUGACGGUACUUGAGGAAUAAGCCACGGCUAAUUCCGUGCCAGCAGCCGCGGUAAUACGGGAGUGGCAAGCGUUAUCCGGAAUUAUUGGGCGUAAAGCGUCCGCAGGCGGCCAAGCAAGUCUGUUGUUAAAGCGUGGAGCUCAACUCCAUCACUGCAAUGGAAACUGCUAGGCUUGAGUGUGGCAGGGGCAGAGGGAAUUUCCGGUGUAGCAGUGAAAUGCGUAGAUAUCGGGAAGAACACCAGUGGCAAAAACGCUCUGCUGGGCCAUUACUGACGCUCAUGGACGAAAGCCAGGGGAGCGAAAGGGAUUAGAUACCCCAGUAGUC
rnacentral:rRNA from 1 species